ensembl:misc_RNA Metazoa_SRP Metazoan signal recognition particle RNA
GCUAGGCGCAGUGGUACAUGCCUGUAAUCCCAGCUACUUGGGAGGCUGGGGUGGGAGGAUCGCUUGAGCCCAGGAGUUCUGGGCUGUAGUGUGCUAUGCUGACCUGGUGUCUGCACUAAGUUCGGCAUCAAUGUGGUGACCUCCCGGGAGUGGGGGACCACCAGGUUGCCUAAGAAGGGGUGAAACGGCCCAGGUUAGAACAGAGCAGGUCAAAACUCCCGUGCUGAUCAGUAGCGGGACUGCGCCUGUGAACAGCCACUGCACUCCAGCCUGAGCAACACAGCGAGACCCUGUCUCU